rnacentral:rRNA from 1 species
UACGGAGGAUCCGAGCGUUAUCCGGAUUUAUUGGGUUUAAAGGGUGCGUAGGCGGCCUUUUAAGUCAGCGGUGAAAGUCUGUGGCUCAACCAUAGAAUUGCCGUUGAAACUGGGGGGCUUGAGUAUGUUUGAGGCAGGCGGAAUGCGUGGUGUAGCGGUGAAAUGCAUAGAUAUCACGCAGAACCCCGAUUGCGAAGGCAGCCUGCUGGACUGUAACUGACGCUGAUGCUCGAAAGUGUGGGUAUCAAACAGG